UUUGUUUUAAUUUUGUUCAUUUUAUGCACUUGGGUGGACAGUACAAUGUCGACUUUGGGGCAUAAGAAAGUGUGUAUAUGUCUUGCUGUAGAAGAAAUUCUCCAUGAGCAAAUGUUGCAAUUGACUGUUGUUCUCGAUUACGUCGAGAAGGCAAAGUCACGGAAAAGAAAACGUAAUGGGAGGAGUGUAGCUUAUCGUAUAUUACACAGAAUACCAGAUCAAGUGAAGCACUUGAAUCGAAUUAUAGAUAUCAAUGAUGUUGAUUGUGUUACAAAUCUUAGGAUGGAUAGAAAUACAUUCGGUAGAUUGUGUCGACUUUUGAGGGAUUUAGAUGGGUUGACGAAUGGUCGUUAUGUGACUGUUGAGGAGCAAGUUGCUAUGUUUCUCUCUAUUUUAGCGCAUCACAAAAAAAUAGAGUUGUCAAAUUUGAUUUUUGGAGAAGUGGGCAAACAGUUUCGCACUAUAUUCACGUAGUCUUGCGAGCCAUUUUGAAGCUACAUGUAAUUCUUUUGGUAAAACCAACUGCGGUGCCGGAUGACUCGACGGAUCCACGUUGGAAAUGGUUUAAGGGUUGCUUAGGUGCAUUGGAUGGUACCUACAUCAAUGUUAUGGUGUCCAACAAUGACAAACCUCGAUAUAGAACGAGGAAGGGUCAGAUUUCAACCAAUACUCUCGCAGUUUGUGACAGGAAUUUGAAAUUUAUUUAUGUCUUGCCCGGGUGGGAAGGAUCAGCUGCUGACGCCCGAAUAUUGCGUGAUUCCCUCAACCGAGUGAAUGGAUUUAAAGUACCUAGAGGUUUGUAUUAUCUUUGUGACAACGGGUACGCGAACAGUGAAGGGUUUUUAACGCCGUACAAGGGUGUUAGGUACCACCUUAAAGAGUGGGGGCCAACUGUUGCACGACCUCGAAGCAUGGAGGAGCUGUUCAAUUUGAGGCACACACGAGCUCGGAAUGUAAUUGAGCGUGCAUUUGGUAUAAUGAAGAUGUGAUGGGGUGUAUUGCGCAGCACAACAUUUUACCCCAUCAAAGUGCAAAAUAGGCUUAUCAUGGCGUGCUUCCUAAUAAAUAAUUUUAUUAGGAAUGAGAUGAUCGUGGAUCCAAUAGAGCAGGCAUUUGACAACCUACCAACGGAGAAUGAAUUUGUGGAGCCUGAUCACGGUGAUUAUGUGGAUGCCGUUGAGCCCUCUGCCGAAUGGGCUGCAACUCGGGAUGCCAUGGCUCAAGCAAUGUGGCAACAAUAUGUUGAGGGGCACUAAUGUAGUCUUUGGUUGAAGAGCAUUUAUGUGUUUCUUAUUACAUUUGUUUGUGUAUUGUCUGACUUGAGAAUUCAGCUUGUUUUAUUUGAUGUUCAAACUUUGA